GACAUAUUUACUGCUUCAAUGUUUCAAAUGCGUACUCACAAUUACCUCUACCUUUCCAGGAACUAAUCACCCUUUCAAGCAAAACUCCAUCUGCGUUUGGGCUACACAUCCACAUCAAUUCUCAACUCUUUCAAGAAUGGCAGCAAGAAAACAUACCAGGUUUUAUAAUCGCUUACCAAAGACCACUGCAUGACAACCAGUCUCAUAUUUAUGAUUUCAUCUACCUCUGUACAUUAAAUAGCUUCUAAAAUAUAAUGUAAAUAUAGUGAAUUGAUGAGAAACCGAAGACCUAAGAAAAGAAAGCUCCAACUUUGGGCCCAAGAAUCUAUCUCAACACCAGCAGAAGAACUGAUGAGUUGUGCUUCAAAGGCAAGAAAGAAGUUUGCUACAGUUUGGGCUUGAAUACCCUGGAAAAAUCAAGAUACAGGACAUUGAGAUCAUCCUACUAUCUAGCACAAAACUUCUAAA